AUGCCGCCGCCUCCUCUCCUCUCAUCUCCCUCAAUUCUCCUCGCGCCGCCGCACCUACUCCGAGCCCCUCCUCUUCCCCGUGCCACCAGCCUCCCUCCUUUGUGUCUUUCCUCGUCGGUCACGGAUCUCCUCGCCGCGGUUGCAUUGUUCGAACAAGACGAAGAGGAGUUGGAGCGUCGGGUCCGUGCAGCGGCCUCCUCGCGGUGGCCGGCUGCUCGACGCGCCGCGCCACCGUUGCGGGAGAUGGUGAACACGAGGAGAUGCAGGGUGGCCUUGCCGGAAGAGGGCGAUGCCGGGAACCACCCACUGGUGAAGGACCAUGUGGGCUGA
rnacentral:rRNA from 1 species